UACGUAGGGUGCGAGCGUUGUCCGGAAUUAUUGGGCGUAAAGGGCUCGUAGGCGGUCUGUCACGUCGGGAGUGAAAACACGGGGCUUAACCCCGUGCCUGCUUCCGAUACGGGCAGACUAGAGGUAUGCAGGGGAGAACGGAAUUCCUGGUGUAGCGGUGAAAUGCGCAGAUAUCGGGAGGAACACCGGUGGCGAAGGCGGUUCUCUGGGCCUUACCUGACGCUGAGGAGCGAAAGCGUGGGGAGCAAACAGG
rnacentral:rRNA from 1 species